GUAGCGGUGAAAUGCAUAGAUAUCACGCAGAACCCCGAUUGCGAAGGCAGCCUGCUAGGGUGCGACAGACGCUGAGGCACGAAAGCGUGGGUAUCGAACAGGAUUAGAUACCCUGGUAGUCCACGCAGUAAACGAUGAAUACUAACUGUUUGCGAUACAAUGUAAGCGGUACAGCGAAAGCGUUAAGUAUUCCACCUGGGGAGUACGCCGGCAACGGUGAAACUCAAAGGAAUUGACGGGGGCCCGCACAAGCGGAGGAACAUGUGGUUUAAUUCGAUGAUACGCGAGGAACCUUACCCGGGCUCAAACGCAGGGGGAAUAUAUAUGAAAGUAUAUAGCUAGCAAUAGUCACCUGCGAGGUGCUGCAUGGUUGUCGUCAGCUCGUGCCGUGAGGUGUCGGCUUAAGUGCCAUAACGAGCGCAACCCCUAUGGACAGUUACUAACGGGUGAAGCCGAGGACUCUGUCUAGACUGCCGGCGCAAGCCGCGAGGAAGGUGGGGAUGACGUCAAAUCAGCACGGCCCUUACGUCCGGGGCGACACACGUGUUACAAUGGCAGGUACAGAAGGCAGCCAGUCAGCAAUGACGCGCGAAUCCCGAAAACCUGUCUCAGUUCGGAUUGGAGUCUGCAACCCGACUCCAUGAAGCUGGAUUCGCUAGUAAUCGCGCAUCAGCCAUGGCGCGGUGAAUACGUUCCCGGGCCUUGUACACACCGCCCGUCAAGCCAUGGAAGCCGGGAGUACCUGAAGCAUGCAACCGCAAGGAGCGUACGAAGGUAAUACCGGUAACUGGGGCUAAGUCGUAACAAGGUAGCCGUACCGGAAGGUGCGGCUG
rnacentral:rRNA from 1 species